UAACGAUGAAGAGUUUGAUCCUGGCUCAGGAUGAACGCUAGCGGCAGGCCUAACACAUGCAAGUCGAGGGGUAACGUGAGUGCUUGCACUUGACGACGACCGGCGGACGGGUGCGUAACGCGUAUACAAUCUACCUAUUACUAAAAGAUAGCCCAGAGAAAUUUGGAUUAAUAUUUUAUGGCAUUACGACCUGGCAUCAGGUUGUAAUUAAAGGUUACGGUAAUAGAUGAGUAUGCGUCCUAUUAGCUUGAUGGUAAGGUAACGGCUUACCAUGGCUACGAUAGGUAGGGGUCCUGAGAGGGAGAUCCCCCACACUGGUACUGAGACACGGACCAGACUCCUACGGGAGGCAGCAGUGAGGAAUAUUGGACAAUGGGAGCAAUCCUGAUCCAGCCAUGCCGCGUGCAGGAAGACUGCCCUAUGGGUUGUAAACUGCUUUUAUACAGGAAGAAAAAGGUGUACGUGUACACUGUUGACGGUACUGUAAGAAUAAGGAUCGGCUAACUCCGUGCCAGCAGCCGCGGUAAUACGGAGGAUCCAAGCGUUAUCCGGAAUCAUUGGGUUUAAAGGGUCCGUAGGCGGGACAAUAAGUCAGUGGUGAAAGUCUGCAGCUCAACUGUAGAAUUGCCAUUGAUACUGUUGUUCUUGAGUGCUUGUGAAGUGGUUAGAAUGAGUAGUGUAGCGGUGAAAUGCAUAGAUAUUACUCAGAAUACCGAUUGCGAAGGCAGAUCACUAACAAUUCACUGACGCUGAUGGACGAAAGCGUAGGUAGCGAACAGGAUUAGAUACCCUGGUAGUCUACGCCGUAAACGAUGGUUACUAGCUGUUCGGAUCAAUUGCGAUCUGAGUGGCUAAGCGAAAGUGAUAAGUAACCCACCUGGGGAGUACGUUCGCAAGAAUGAAACUCAAAGGAAUUGACGGGGGCCCGCACAAGCGGUGGAGCAUGUGGUUUAAUUCGAUGAUACGCGAGGAACCUUACCAGGGCUUAAAUGCAGUUUGACAGGGGUGGAAACACCUUUUCCUUCGGGCAAAUUGCAAGGUGCUGCAUGGUUGUCGUCAGCUC
rnacentral:rRNA from 1 species